AAUGGACCUAGAGACCUAUAGGAUUGGAAGGCCUUAAGGAUCUAGGAAACGUGAGUGACGUGGGAUCAAGUUAGCAAAAGCAUGUGAUUGGGUUAAGUUGGGACGUCUCUAAUGUGAUUAGAGGCUAAGUUUAAUUUUCUUUUAUCCUCUACUUCUAGUGUUGUGUCGGGCGGCCGACGACAUGACGCUUGAGGUCAGGAUGAAUGUGCAUGUUGCUUUCGCCUAAUUGGGUAUGGUCAAGUAAAGUUGGUCAGGUGACUAAUGCGAGUUGCUUCUUUUCAGGAAGCAAUGGCACCUCGACGUCGAUCCCAGACGAGGUCGAUGCCGGAGGAAACGAAUGCAAUGCCCGAGCAAUCCGGAGCGAGUGGCGACGGAGAGCUUAGGGAACAGAUGGCCGCGCUUAUUGGCAUAGUGCGGCAGCAAGCAGAGUCUGUUCAACGCCAAGGGGAACAGAUUCAGCGGCUCCAGGAGACCUUAGAGCGCCAGCAGGCGGCGGCAGCCCAGGCAGACGUCGAGCCUGUCGCGCCACCUGUGGUAGUGCCGAGUGUUGUUGAGGGAGCGGCGGCGGCGGCAGCUGUUCCAGUUACGGUAGUACCGGCCGGGUCGGGAACUUCGAAUCCCGAUAGCGCGACAGUCGAUGCGGAGCGAGAGCGUACUCUGGCGGCUCUCAUUCAGUUCAAGAAGUUCGACCCACCAACCUUCGAGGGCGGUUUGGUGGAGCCGGCGAUCGUGGAGUCAUGGAUCGACUCAAUGGAGACGCUCUUCGAGGAUUUGAAUACCUUGGAGAAGGAUAAAGUGUACCUCGCCACCCAUUCCCUAGGGAAGGCGGCGAUGGUGUGGUGGAAGCGAGUGAAGCGGGAUCGUCCUACCGAUCUUCCGCUUAUGCUUUGGGAGGAGUUCAAGAGAGCGGUAUUCGCGAACUACUUCCCCGACACGGUGAAGCGGAAGCUGCAAGACAAGUUCCGCAAGUUGAGACAGGGCGAUCGAUCGGUGGGGGAGUAUGAGCAAGAAUUCUCCCACAUUAUUGAUUGCGUUCCCGACGUUGUUCGUGAUGAUCGGGACCGGGCGGAUUGGUUCUUGCGAGGACUUCAACCCCGGAUUUAUGAGAAGGUGCAAAUCUUGAAGCUGUCGACCUUUGCGGAGGUCUUCGAUCGAGCUUUGUGGGCGGAGCACGGUAGCGCCCACGUACGUGAAGAGCGAGAAGCUAUGGCCGAGUCCAAGGACAAAGGCAAGAAGAGGACGGCGGGUGGUGCCGGGGGCCGGCCAAAUGAUAAGAAACCCCCUCGGUAUCCCCGACAGCAGUCGAGGAACUGGAGACCGCCUCGAUGUGUUAUAUGUGGCGGAGAGCACAAGGUGACGACUUGCCCGCAGCGCGAUGGCAAGUGUUUCAAGUGUGGCCAACCGGGACACGUCAUCCGGGAGUGCCCGUCGUGGACGUCGUCUGCGCCGACGGCGGCUUCAACACCGUCUACCCCGAGACAGCUUGCGGGGUUACCACCGGCGAUGUCGGCUGGACGCGCGUCAUCACCGCGUCAGCCGGAGGGAUCGAGAGCGCCUAGCGGCCGAGUCUUUGCAGCUCAGGUGGAGGAGCAGCAACCUGCAGCACCCGACGACGUCGUGGCAGGUAUAAUUGUGAUUAAAGGCACUAGAGCUAGAGCAGUGUUUGAUACAGGCGCAUCUCAUUCAUUCAUUAGCAUUUCAUUUGCUAAGACUCAUGGCAUAGAGAUGGUAUACAAUGAGGAUUACUGGUGGGUGAACGCUCCAGAGCAUUCAUUCAGUGUCCAUAAUGAGUGUUUGGCGUGUCCAGUGCAAAUAGGCGAUUGGAUUAUGCCGAUUGAUCUGCUAGUGCUAGAUCAGAUGUGGGGAUUCGAUGUUAUCUUGGGGACCAACUGGCUCUCCAAGUACUAUGCGGUGAUAGAUUGUGAAGGUAAGGUGAUCACUUUUCGUGAGCCUAAUCAAGAAGAGUUAGUCUACCAAGCGUGCAAAAGUAGGCGCUUCGCGGCGACUAUAUCGUCUGUAAGGGCGAAGAGAAUGAUCAAGGGUGGAUGUAAGGCCUAUUUGGCAACCAUGGUUGAUGGCCGCAGGGAGCACCCAGACCUUGGAAGUAUCCGGGUUGCGUGUGAGUUCCCGGAUGUGUUUCCGGCGGAGUUACCGGGACUGCCACCGGACCGGGAAGUUGAGUUCGUCAUUGACUUAAUUCCCGGGGCGGAACCAGUUUCGAAGGCUCCGUAUAGAAUGGCACCGGUGGAGUUAAAGGAGCUAAAAGGUCAAUUACAAGACUUGCUCGAUAAGGGCUUCGUGAGGCCGAGUGUGUCACCAUGGGGAGCCCCGGUGCUAUUUGUGAAGAAAAAGGAUGGCACACUUCGACUCUGCGUAGAUUAUCGCGAGUUGAACAAAGUAACGAUAAAGAACAAGUACCCGUUGCCAAGGAUUGAUGAUCUAUUCGAUCAGUUGCAAGGGUCCAAGGUGUAUUCGAAGAUUGAUCUCCAAUCGGGGUAUCAUCAAUUAAAGAUCAGGCCGAAGGAUGUGCACAAAACGGCGUACCGUACGCGGUAUGGCCAUUAUGAGUUCACGGUAAUGCCGUUUGGGCUUACUAACGCCCCGGCAGCAUUUAUGGACUUGAUGAAUCGAGUCUUUAGGCCGUUGUUGGAUCGAUGCGUCGUGGUGUUCAUAGACGACGUAUUGGUCUAUUCGAAAAGUGAAGAGGAGCAUGAAGAGCAUCUGAGAGCUGGUGUUGCAAAUACUCAGACAAGAGAAGCUCUAUGCAAAGUUAAAGAAAUGUGACUUUUGGCUAAAGGGAGGUCACAUUCUUGGGUCAUGUGGUAUCGGGCGACGGAGUUUCGGUAGACCCGAAGAAAGUGGAGGCGAUCAAGGAUUGGCCUCGCCCGAACGAAUGUAGCGGAGAUCCGCAGUUUUCUUGAACUGGCGGGCUACUACCGGCGGUUCGUGGAGGGGUUUGCCAAAAUAACCACUCCACUAACGCGCCUCACGCAUAAAGGAGUAAAGUACGUGUGGAGCGACGAUUGCGAUCGAAGCUUCGAGGAGUUAAAGAGCAGGUUGACGUCAACCCCGGUGCUUGCUUUGCCAACUCCGGGAGAGACCUUUGUAGUGUACAGUGAUGCCUCGUAUGUUGGUCUCGGGUGUGUAUUAAUGCAGAAUGGGCGAGUUAUUGCUUAUGCGUCGCGCCAGUUAAAGAGUUAUGAGAAGAACUACCCGAUUCACGACCUCGAGUUAGCCGCGGUGAUCUUCGCGCUAAAGCUUUGGAGGCAUUACUUGUAUGGUGAACAUUGUGAGGUAUAUACCGAUCACAAGAGCCUAAAGUAUUUGUUCACCCAGAAAGAGUUGAAUAUGCGACAGCGGCGGUGGUUGGAGUUGCUAAAGGACUAUGAUGUCACCAUAUUAUACCACCCUGGAAAAGCCAAUGUCGUGGCCGACGCUCUAAGUAGAAAAUCGGCGGAGAACUUAGCGACGGCAAUUACGCCUCAACCGCUAUUGCAAAAGGAAAUGCAACGAUUUGGGUUGGAAGUGGUAGCGCCGGGAGUGCCGGCUACACUUGCCACACUAGUUGUGCAACCGACCCUAUUUGAGAGAAUCAAAGAGUUACAAGCUUCAGAUCCUUAUCUCCAAAAGGUUCGAGGUGAUGUGGAAAAUGGCAAUGCCGAAGACUUUGGCAUUGGAGCUGAUGGCGCACUUCGAUUUCGAAAUCGAUGGUGUGUGCCUAAAAAUGAUGAGUUGCGAAGGGCGAUCAUGCAAGAGGCGCAUCAAUCUCCCUAUAGUAUACACCCUGGCGGCACUAAAAUGUACAAGGACUUGAAAGAGCACUAUUGGUGGCCGGGUAUGAAAAGAGAUAUCGGGGAGUUUGUGGCGCAAUGUUUGACGUGCCAACAAGUAAAAGCUGAGCGCCGAUUUCCGGCGGGGAAGCUGCAAAGUCUACCAAUACCCGUUUGGAAAUGGGAAAACAUAGCAAUGGACUUUGUUACCGGUUUGCCUCGAUCACAAGGCGGACAUGAUGCGAUAUGGGUGAUAGUGGAUCGAUUGACAAAAUCGGCACACUUCUUGCCGAUACAUACUACGUGGUCGGGAGACAAGCUAGCGCAAGUUUAUCUCGACGAGGUUGUGAGACUUCAUGGGGUCCCAGUAUCGAUCGUGUCGGAUCGCGACCCCAGGUUCACAUCCCACUUUUGGAAAAGUUUGCAAGACGCGCUAGGCACACGGCUCGACUUCAGUACAGCGUUUCAUCCUCAAAGUGAUGGACAGUCGGAGCGGACGAUACAAAUCCUUGAGGAUUUGCUUCGAGCGUGUGUGCUAGAUUACAAAGGAGGAUGGCAUGAUUUCUUGCCUAUGGCGGAGUUCGCCUACAAUAAUAGCUACCAAGAGAGCAUAGCAAUGGCGCCUUUUGAGGCACUAUAUGGACGUAAGUGUCGUUCUCCUAUCCAUUGGAGCGACGUGGGCGAGAGAGCGGCUCUUGGCCCUGAUGUGGUGCGGGAGGCGGAAGAGAAAGUUCGCCUUGCCCGUCAACGGUUGGCGAUGGCGCAAUCUCGGCAAAAGAGUUAUGCCGACAAGCGAAGAAAGGAUUUAGAGUUCGCGGUUGGAGACCGUGUAUUCUUGAGAGUAUCGCCGAUGCGAGGAGUUAAACGAUUUGGGGUCCGUGGGAAGCUAAGUCCCCGAUAUGUCGGACCAUUUGAGAUAUUAGAGCGUGUGGGUGCGGUGGCGUAUAAGCUCGCAUUACCACCGAGACUCGCGGGAGUUCACAAUGUGUUUCAUGUGUCGAAUCUUCGAAAGUAUAUUCGCAAUGCGGCACAUGUAUUGGAGUAUGAGCCCGUGGAGCUACGUGAAGACAUGUCCUUCGAGGAGUACCCGGUGUGCAUCCUCGAUCGAGAAGUAAGGAAACUUGCGAAGUCGCAAGAUACCAUAUGUAAAAGUCCAAUGGAGCAACCAUGAUGUGCGAGAAGCCACUUGGGAGCUCGAGGAAACCAUGCGGAGAGAGUAUCCGCAUCUGUUCGAGUCGACGAGUUAAGGUAUGCGUAAUUUCGCGGACGAAAUUAUUUUAAGGGGUGGAGAAUGUAAUAUACCGAAAAUUCGGAAAAUAAAUAUCGAACUUUAGUCAAAUUGACCAAAGUGCGAGGAAGGUACACUUCGGAAAGUCCGAAGGUGUUAAAAUGAUCAAAAGUGAGUUACGGAAGGUUUUCGAGAGCUAAAGAAUCAAAUUCUGCAAAACUGCAGAUUUUCAGCUCUCGGGGACCGGUCCCUGGUGGGAGAGACCGGUCCCCGAACACGUAUGAAAUGAGACAGCCGAAAAAUCGGCUAAGUCCUGGAAGGAUAGCUCUCGGGAACCGGUCUCUGCCUGAGAGACCGGUCCCCCAGAGACCGGUCCCAUAAGGAGAGACCGGUUGCACUGCGCGCAGCAGCUCUGGCUGCGCAGGGUGGACGUUCGGGAACCGGUCCCUGCUCGGGAGACCGGUCUCUGCCUGCGUGGAAUGCCCAGUUCGGCAGUGUAUUAAAGUGAAAGUUGAGGGGUUUAUUUGCAUUUUGGCAACCCAUUGAGCUAUGUUAGGGGGGCUGAGGGGUUUUUCUCUCAUUUCUCACCCUCUCACACUCUCUUCUCUCCCUCUCUCUCUCUAGAAGACAAAGGAGAAGAAGAAGAAAGGAAGAAAAGAAGGAAAAGAAGGAGAAGAAAGUGAAGAAGAAGAUCAAGGAGCAAAGGAGCCUCAUCUUCUUCCUCUCUAGGGCAAGAAAGGAAAGCUUACAAGGUAAGCUUUGAUCUAUAUUGUAGAAAAACCCUAGAAUGAGUUUUGAAUAACCUAGAAAUGGGUUUUAAUGGGAUAUUUGAAGAGUUUUGAAGCUUUCUUUUGCUUCUUUAGAGAUCAAAUCCAUGGUUGAGCUCAAGGUGAGCUUCAACCCACCUCUAAUGGUGAAAUCCAAACUAGGGUUUUGGAAAGCCUAAGAAUGAUUCUAAUGGGCUAUAUAGAGUAUAAUGAAGCUACUUUUGCUUCCCAAUGAGAUCAAACCCUAGGUUUUGAUGUACAUUGGAGCUAGGGCACCCAAAUUGGGGCUUUUGCUCAUGAAGGUUUCUAAGUGCGAUUGACCCUCUAAAAACCUAAUUGGGGGUAUUUCCAACGCGUUGGUGCGCUCGGAAUAGCAUUUCGAAAAGUGUAUGAAAAGUUAUGGGCAAAAUGGCCUAAUAAGGGUUCGUUUUGCCGCAGGGAAAGAACGAGGCAUCUAAAAAUUCUAAGAAAAUCAUCGGAGCACCUAAAGAGACCUACAAGGUGGGUGGUGCUUUUCAAACUCAUUGAAAUUCUCUCUAUGCCUAAUGUGUCAUUCUUUGAGCAUAUGUUCUAUAUAUUGUUGCAUGCAUUUUAGGGUAAAGUAAUGAUGAAAUGUGAUGAUUGCAUGAUUGUGAGCACAACUUGCAGAAUGAGAUGGUUGAGAACCUAAUAAUGUCAAAACCCUAGAUAUAUGCAUGAGAGAAGAUGUGAGUACCCAAAGUGAGUAAAAGAACAGAGUGGCACAAUGACAUAGAUCGAGUGGCAUUCGAUAAAGCUAAUGUGAAAUGACACUAGAGUUAGUGUGAUGUAAAGAAUUUAAGUGAUGUAAAGAAUGAUGAAAAUGACGACAAGUAAAGCUAAAGUAAAGUGGGCAAUAAGAACAAGAAUGCUAGAGUUAGCAAAAAUAAAAGAAAUGCAAAGAACAAUGAUUGCUAGAGUUAGCAAGAGUAAUGAGAAUGUAAAGAAUGUGAUUGCAUGAGUUUGCAACAUAAAGUGAUGUAAAGAACACUAGAGCUAGUGUAAAGUCAAGAUUGACCUAUAAUCCUUUGAGUUAAGGAUAUGAUCAUACUUGCUGUUGAGUUCCGUGCUCGAGGGCGGUCGCUCCCCCUCGGGCGAUGCGCUCCGGAGUUAUGCAUCCGGGUUGGAGUAGACCCGAAAGGACGGUCCUAGCCGGUGAGUUCCUGCGAUGAUGGACUUAGCGUGAGGCAAGUUAAUGUGGCGAAACCCCCGGGUUAGCCUUAAUGAUUAAAGAGCAAAGAACAAAGAAAAAGAACAAAGAGUAAAGUGAAAAGAACUAAAGAACAUGCAUAACCUGCAUCUAUUAAUGUUGAGCAUAUUCCUUGCUUUUGUUCAGGCAUAUUAGCAUCAUGUUGUAGAUUGGUUACUAUAUCCUGCUUAUCCUUUCUAUUAUGCCUGGGUUAGUCCUAGUGGGAAAGUCGGUGAUGUUGAGGCCGAACCCACUGGGAACUUUGUUGUAGUUCUCACCCCACUAUUUCCACAGAGCCGGGACCGAGCGAGCCGGCGAGCGACCGAGGUAAAGGUAUCGCGCCUUAGUCAGAGGCCACUAGAGUUGGGUUUACAUUUUGUUAGUAGACACCUUUUUAUCAUCUUUUGUAUUUGAUGAUUUGUGAUGUAAAGAAAGAAUGUAAAGCUUAUUUUGAGGUAAAUGUGUUGUAAGAAAGAAAUGAUGAGAUAUGUAAGAACAGCAAAGAAUCUUAAAUGUAAGAGAUGGAUGUAAUGUAUAUGAUCUAAAAUGAAUCAUAUUACUUGUGAAUGUAUAGUUUUCCUUUCUUUCACUUAUGGCUAUUGCUUACCCUCGUGUAAGCUGUUUGUGUAUGUUUCCGCUAGUGCUUUUCUCUAACGAUGAAAAUGUACGUGUGAUGAGCCUUGGGCGGAUAGGGGAAACUCUGUCCGUUCGGCGUCUGUUUGACGUGCUCGGGUCGGGCCAAAUUGGCAUCAGUCCCGGGGCGUGACACACUGAGUCAAUAGGCCCAAGGCCAACAUCAUAUUUGUCACAAGAUGUAUCCACUCCAUUUGCUUGAAGAAUCCUCAUAAUCAGAACAGGGAAUGGUAGUAGAUCCCGUCGAGUGGCACCCUGAAUUACGUGAAUCAUCCUUUGCCAUAUCAGAAAUGGAAUGUUGAUGUUCAACCCACGAGCCUGCUCGGGAUGACCAAGUAGAUAUAGCAACACUAAUCUAUCCCAGCGGAUCCUCUUUGUGCCGAUAGUUGGUUGAACAUUGUAGCUCAUAACCAAGGAUAGCAAGUGAUACUCAGGUAAUAAGUCUUUGGAUUCAAUGUAACCAUGAGUCAUAUAAACACCGGCUUUGCAUAUAGCUCCAAGAACGAUAUCCAGGUGAGUUGAUGCUUGAAAUCCUCCUGAAGUAUAGAGAAGACCUGAAGUGUCCACAUGCAUCCCCAAGAUCUCUCCAAUAUCAUAGGGAGUAACUGGAAAUCUCCUCUGACGCACAACAGUCUCGAAGAUAAAAGUGCCUGUUUCAUCAUCUUCAGCAAGCACCUUUCCAUUCAUAUAGAACUCCCUAAUGAGUUCUACACAGAAAGGAGCCUUCGCAGGGACCCGUCCAACAGGCUCAAUAGGCGCAUGCUGUAGUAAUCGUCCAAAAUCAGGAACCUCUCGAAUCAGAUCAUGGAAGUUCACAAAGCGUUCAGCUAUGCACGAUUUUGAUGCAAACAACCUUCGCUUUGCUGGAGGAACUUCUGCAGCUUGUUUUGAACGUCCCUCACGAGUAUGAUAACCACCUCCGUGAGAUGAUUCACCAACUAAACCUUUGCCUUUGUCAAGUUGCGCAAUAGGUUCUUCAGAUUCUUCAGGGGAGCUCUCCUGAUAAUCCGGAUCAGACCCGGACGCUUCUUCAGUGGUACGUGUCCUUUUAGAAACCCCAUGACGACCUCUACCACUACCACGACUCCGUCUCCCAGCCAUAAGCACCAAAAGCACCAGUACGAGCAAAAAUGCCAUUUUCCUAUAUCAAAAAUUGCAUACAUGAACAUAAUUUCUGAAAAAAAUUUGUAAAAAUAGCGAAAAAAUUUCUAAAUACAUUAGAAUGCAUACAAAAACUAUUUCUAACCAGAUCAUGCAAAAUAUUUCAGCAAAAAUCAAACUUUUUGAAAAAUCCCGAAAUUACAUGCAUAUUAAAGCAUAAAUCCUAGAUCAGCGAAAAAUAACUUGUUAUGAUGUGAUUCAAGUGUUCUACAAGCAAGGUAAUGUCCUUAAGCAGUGAUUUAUAGCAAAAAAUUGCAUCAAAAACGGAUUAGAACAGAGAUCUAACCCUUAUCCUGCAACAAAACAGUGAAACUAACAAAACCGGGAUAAAACUCACAAAUUUGAUGCUAAAAACUUACAAAUCUACGGGGAAAACGUGUAGAACGAAUGAAGGAGAGUCUCUGGAGCUCACAGGACCAAAAAUUUUGGAAAACGAUGGAGAUUUGAGAAAGAUCGAAGCGUUAUACUCGGUUAUAUUUCGCUCGGCCGCAGACCUUGUACCGGUACACGGGUUCUUGUUCCGGUACAAGGACCAAAAUGUGAAAAAUUUUUUUUCGAAAAAUAUACUUUAGAAAUCCAUCACAUUUAAAUUAAAUUCAUAUAGUUAAGAUUUUUACUCCAAAAAUUAUUGUAAUGAAAAUAAAAUAUUAUACAAUUUCAAAACACAUCAAAACAUCAAAAUUUCAAAAUCAAAAAUAAUUUAAUGAUUCAAAAACAUCUAGAUGUAAGUCGAUGAAAAAUGAUAUUUAGAAAUUCAACAAAAUUGACACCAAUUGGUCGCAACAUGUUCAAAAUAGAGAUUUAACUAAUAUGGCACCGGGGGUGGCUCUUUGAGCAUCUUUUUCAAACUAGCACCUUAUAACUCCGAAAAUUCUAAAAUAUUCAUUUUUUUUUUCAACCUUUUUCGGUUACACAAUUCAAUAUUCAUGUGGUAGCUUCACACACUUGCCGGACGACCGGGGUGGCAGCUCUUUCCUACAUGUGGUGGUAGUUUUCACACUUCUUUUGGAUGUAACUCUUUCCACAUCUUUUAAACACAGGAGUUUCCUUUUCAUUCAUUUUUUUUUAUUUUUAAACAAUUUCAAACUCCCCCUAAAUUAGACAAUCUCACAGUUGAAAAUAAUUUUGACGAAUUUUAGUCAAUUCGAGAAUACCCAUUCAUCAUAUCCAACACUCACAACCAAGAUGAAUUAAUCACCAAAAAAUCAAAUUUGAUUUCAAAAUUUUGAUGAAUUUAUGCAUUAAGAAAUCAUAUAAUAUAUUAUCGUCAAAAUAAUAAAUAGUGGAGUAAAGACGAUAAUUAAUAUGAAUUUACCUUAAUAUGAUUGUGAAGAUUAAACCCGUUUAACCAAUCUUUUUAAAAAAACUUUCUCUCCAAAAAAAACGAUUCUCAAUCAUCACCUUUCUCAAAGAUUUUGAAAUUCCUAAUCACAUUUUCCUCAAAAUGAUUUUUAAAUAAACAAAAAUUCAAUGCACCAAAAAUCAUUCAAGCAUGUAAUGCAAUGAAUAAAGUUAAACAACAAGCACCAAUCAAAGCAUUACACUGAAAAUCAAAAUGACUAGAACGAGGAGUAAGGAAAGAUAUCACCUUUCCGGAUCCAAACUUGUCGGAUCGUUGGUUUUCUCGACUUGUCGAUGUUAGGUGCCUUUUGUUUAGACUUUUGAUCAACUGUUGGUGUUUUCUUCGGUUGAAGCUUCGGUUGAUUUAGUAGAUGAGGCUUGAGCACUUGUUUUGCAUGAACUUGGCGUUGUGCAUUAGAAGACCGGUUUGCUUGUGGCUUAGGUAGGAUCCGAUUCUUUUGAAGCACUCGACUCACUUGAUUUUGCUUUUGAUUCCGAGGGGGAAGUCGAGUUGUAGAAGGUGCCACUUGACGAUUAGAAGUUGCCGAUUGAUUCUUCUUGUCUUUGUUUGGGCAAUUCCUUUUGAUGUGUCCUUCGAUGCCACAUCGAUGACACACUUUGCCUUUUGAAGUUGUUGAGACUUUAGAUGUCGCCGUUUGAUCCUUCUCAACAUAUGUCCGUUCAUAUCCAAGACCCAAUUUGCUCGUUUGACCCAAUCCAAGCAUUUUGUCCAACUUCUUUGAUCCCGAAGAAAAUUGUUGAAGAUCGGAUUGGAGUUGACGAACUUGGUUGGUCAAGACUUGAUUGGACUUGUGCGAUUCAUGAAAUUGAUGCUCCAAAAAUCCAAUCUUGUCGUUAGAAGAUUUGAUCGUUGAUUCCGCAUCCCUAAGCUUCUCUUGGAGGUCCGAAUUAAUCUUCAAACUUGAAUCUCUUUCCUCCUCAAGAGCCUUAUUCAAACUCUUUACGUUGUUGUUCUCCUCCUCAAGUUCCAACAAACGACGUCUCAACUUCUUGUUGAGUUUAGCCAUCUUUCUUUGAUUCAAUAAGAAGUUGAUUGUACGCUUCCGCUAUGUCGUCGUCGUUUGAUUCCUCUUCACUUUCGCCAUUGUUGCUCGAUGAAUCAUGUGAAGAAAGAGAAAUAUUGGAGUUAGUAGCAAAAGAGGAUAAACACACAACAUUCGACGUAGGGAGUAUUAGCAAAUAAAGGCAAUUUGAUCAUUCUUUUCUUCGUCACUUGACGAUGAUUCACUUGAUGUUGAAUCAUCCCACGUCUUUGCUUGCAUAGCCUUUUGUCUAAACGUCUUCUUCGAAGGACAAUCCGUCGCAAUGUGACCGUAGCCUUUGCACUUGAAGCAUUGGAUCUCGCCUUCAAAGACAUCCUUUUCUUUCGAAGCCUUUGUGUCCCGCCCCGCGACCGCUACCAAUUUGGCUCGGCCCGGGCGCGUCGAACAGACGCCGGACGGACAGCACCUCCCCUGUCCGCCCAAGGCUAACAACGAGAUUGUGUACAACAAGUUCCCAGGAAAAUAACUUGAAUACAUACACAAUCGAUAACUACAACGAGAGCACAAUCAGUGCAAAACAACCAAGAGCAAGAUACAAGUAUAGAACAUACAAGUAAUGAUAAAGAGAGAGCAUCUAUCUAUUACAUUCAUUCAGCCUUUAUAAUACAAUUGAUUAUACAUUGAACUUCCAAAACAUAGUAUAAAGCUUACAUCUUUCAAACUAUAAACAUUAGUUUACAUUCAUCUCAAAAUAGCUCACAACCUAUACAUCAUCUACUCUCAAAGCAUAAAAGGUGACUCUAAUGCAGAAAUAGGAAAGUAGACUAAUGCAACUAGGGCGCUAAGCCCUUACCGCGAUCCUCGCCGUGUGAACUCGCGCUCGGCCCUGUAGUAAAAUGGGGGUGAGAACUAACUUCCUUAGUUCCCAGUGGGUUCGGCCGCCGACUCCGCCGAUCUCCCCACUAGGUCCAAGUCGGGCACAAGUAGAUAAUCGAUAGAUAAAUAGAUAAGGAAAGCGGUAAUAACAAGAGUAAAGCUACUCUACUAUGCCCAAUCAUAAAUAUAUGAAUGCAUGCACAAUGAAAUAGGUAAGCAAGUAACUUGUUAUCAUGUCCAAAGGUGAAGCUAUUCACUCGUUCAUUAACCUCAUUUACUUGUUUAUUAAUCUCAUGGCUUACCCGAAGGCUCGCCUACAGCUCACUAGCCAUCUCGAAGGUAGGGAGAAUUAACUCACACUACGGACCCGAGACCGUCUGGCGGGGCCAUAUAGGCAAUCCCUGGCGUGACCAACAUCCGGAGCGCACUACUUGUGUGGGGCUUCCAUCACAAGAUUUAACAGACCGCGAGCAUGAUCCAAUCCUCAUCUCGAGAAUACCCUAUCCUCUAGGGUUAUAAUCAUCAUAUAGUCCAUAGGUUUCAUAUACACUAUGACUCACAUAUGUCACUCGUUCUUUUGUUUACUAUCAACUAGAUGCCACUCGUUCUUUACAAGUUUCCAAUGCAAUAGCCAAUACAUUACUAAAUUCCCAUCCUCACUUAUCAUCUCAUUAUAGGGUUCCACAUCAUAUAUAUAAACCUCAAGCAUGCUAGAUAUAAGUACUAAGUCAAAUACAUCAUUCUACCAAAGGACAUGCAAGGAAUUGAACCAAACCAUCAUUUAUCACCCUAUAAUGCAAGAUGUCAAUAUGCAAUUUGAUCAAUAUAAACUUAGCGAUUGAUUCGGGAUGGACACCACCCACCUUUUAUAGCGUUCCGAUUGCUCGUCGUCACUCGCAAUCGGCCUCCUGCGGCGCACGCCGCACGGCUCGACCCAACUCAAGCGCGACUGCCAAAUGACCUCCUAUCCGCGAUCCGUCUGUUCUGGAGUUUAUUCCUCGACACCACGAUGCUACGAUUCCAUUUCCAUGAUUUUUGGAAGCUUUCGCCGCGAGCUGCGGCAAUCUGUACCUUAACGGCUUCGAUCCUCAAUAUCUCCGCGUACACUCGUCGGAUCGCCGAACCGAGCGCACCGUUGCGUUCGUAGACCUACCAAUUAGGUUUACAGAGGGUUAAAAGAGAUCAAACCCUCCUAUAAAUCAAAUCGCCAUUUUGGAGCCCUAGAUUUGUACUACGGCAAAAUCCACCAAAUUGAUCUCCCAUUCUUGCAACAAACGUCUAUUAAGCUUGCUAGAAUUCAUCUAAAUCCAAUUCUAGAGCAAAAGGGUCAAGCCCUAGAGAUCUACCAUUGAAGGGGUUAGCAAGCUUACCUCUUAAGCUAGCACAACGGAGAGGAGAAGAUGAGAAGAUGAAGCUCCACCUUGUUUGCUUCCUUCUUCACCAUCUUCUUCUUCUUCUUCCUCUUCUUCUUCUUCUCUUCUCCUCUUUCUUCUUCUCUUUCUUUUCUUUCUUCUUCACGUUAGAGAGGGAGAGAGAGAGGUGUUUUAAGUGAAGGAAAUGAGAGAAAGAGAGAAAGACCCUCUCUAUACACUCUCAUUAGUGCAAAAUUGCAUAAAAGCCCCUCAACAAAGCUUCCCUCGCAACAGCCCAAACUGGGCCAUUUUCGCGCUCGGGGACCGGUCCUUGCGGUGAGAGACCGGUCCCUGAGAGACCGGUCCUUGCGGUGAGAGACCGGUCCCCGAAGGUCCAGUACUCAGCCUCAAGGACUUAGCCAAAUUUCAGCCUUUUUCACCGUUUCUUCUCCGUUUUCGCCCGUUUUCGCUCGUUUGACCUCCGAUUCGUUUCAAAUCGAACCGAGACUCUUCAAACAUGUUUUCGAGCAUGUUUUCAUCAUCUUUUCAUCCACGCUAAUGCCGGAUUUAGCUCACGGCCCAACGUGGCCUUUCGGCUCCGUUUUCGCGCCUAUGCGCACCGAAAUGCCCGAUUGCUUCCGGACCUCACCGGGACCUCACCGAAAGCAUUCAAAUGGUCUUCCAACCAAAUGUACACCGUAACUUCAUGAUUUUAGAAGUCCGAUACCUUACAUCCUCCCCUCCUUAAUAAGAGUUUCGUCCUCGAAACUAACUCACCUCAAACCCAAUUCACACCCUAAUUCUCUUUAUUGAGUGACAAGGGGGUACAGUGCACUUUUGCAUCUCAGAGUGGCCUUGCGCUCAUAUGAACUAUCCGAAGGCCCACUACGGAGGACGUGAGACUAAAUUCGCUCACAUUUGCUUUGUGUAAGUCCAAAAGUGCAUUAUGGGUCUCCGUCAUUCUGGGUGGUAGCGCAAGUCGAAACUCAACGACUCUACGCCCUCCACACCAUUCACUAACUGGCCCACUAAGGCCAAACCACUUCCUUCGAGACCGGGACUACCCGCUAUCCUUAUGGUGUGGAGCUAUCAAGAACGCACCAAUAGUCAUAUGGUCCACCACCACGACACAGCACACACGGGUAAGCCCUCUCGAACCACCUGAGUGUCAACAAAGCGGCGCUCCGCCACUUUGGCUAUCCAAGAGUUCGUAUUUCUCAUUUACGACUCUUCGUCACUUUCACCAUCCCUCUAGGGGUCACACUCCAAUUCGAUCACCAAUAUCGCUUAGAAGCAACAUCAUUGGUGCAUCGACCCACUGCGAGUGCUCCAAUCGCAUUUGGAUCCUUGCUCUAUUCAGAGAUGGCCUACUUCGGCGCAUCUCGAAUCUUAAUCCAUAAAAGAGCAUUAUCUCCAAAUUCUCCAAAUUUUUUCCAACAUAACCCAGCCUGCCUGGGCAAAUUUCAUGCUCGGGGACCGGUCUCUCCUUGCCUGGGACCGGUCCCAGAGGGACCUCCUCAAUCUCACGCGUUCGGGAACCGGUCCCUCUGGCCUAGGGACCGGUUGCCUCGCGCUUGCCACAGCCCUCAGCCUCGGGGCAACCGGUCCCUCCCUCCUGGGACCGGUCCCCGAGAGCAAGCUCGCGUAGACAACAUUCGGGAACCGGUCCCUCCCACCAGGGACCGGUCCCCGAGAGCAAUUCUGCUAGGUGCAGAAUCUUGCACCAUUUGCUCUCGCGGACUCCAUUGCAAUGCACUUUUGGUGCAUUUGACUUCUUCGGCGUUCACGAAGCACCCUCACUCGACAAUUAGUCAAUUUUGAGUGAAGUCCAACUCUAGCAUUUUGAGAAUCUACUUCCCUUGCACCAACUCCUCCACGGAGUUAUCGGCUAAACCGAUUACGUCGGCUUCCACAGGUAGACCAGCGGUCACCAACACCACGUAGGCCUACUGUCUAAACCCGUCGCACUACGCAUAGCGUCUCUCGCUCGCAUCGUAGACCCAAUCAUCAUUGGGCGAAAUUCUCAUUGGAGAAUUCGCACACACUCCAACUAGGAGCAACCAAGAUCCCCAAACCACAUCAAGUCCUCGGGUUGGGUCACAACCGCACACUUAGUGCAUCAUCGAUUUCACAAUCCAACACGUGGCAUUCCACACUCCAAGGUCUAAGCUCGGACUACCGUCCUGACCAAAACUCUCCGCCCUACCUAUAGGUAUUGGGCCGCUGCCUCUCGCAGCUGACUGCGCCUGCCAAAUGGGCCCAGGCUCCACAGUCCACGAAGGGUCCAGGCACGGAUCGUCCCCAAGCACUACCCGCUAACGUCGUCCUACACGACACACUCUACAGAGCUACGCACUCUACCGGCUCCUAGGCACCUAGUGCGAGCCACUAGCCCUACGAGUGAUCUAUGGCCCGCUUCACACUUAGCCCUGCUAAAGUGCUACUGCCAAUUCACUCAACCGGCUGAAUCAAAACCGCACUUCACGCAUAACUACACCCGAGCGCUCUACGUCUCUACAGCGUCUCGCACGAAGUCUAGCAUCAGGCAACUUAGCCUAUGCACGCCGGCCACACGAGCAAUAACUCGUCCACCUCAGUUCGAGGUACUACUAGGCCCACAGGCCAAGUUCGGCGCUAAUCGACCAAUUUUGCAACAGUGGUUCAUCACCAUUGUUCGAUCUAUCGAGUCCACGUCCGAAAUACUCUUGGGAUAUCCAGGUGUCCCCAAACAUCAAGGCUCAACUCUUGCAAUAUCUAAUCUAUUGCAUCGAGAGUUCUCUUAUAUUUUCGAUUUCCAUUACGAGUCUCGUUUCUUAUCCAAAAUCACCACUAGCCGUUUGCUAGUGCCCAAUGGCUCUCUACCUGCCCCAGCAGGCGCCAUACUCUCAUCCUGCUAGCAUACUCGGGUACCUACUUACCCGACCACUCGGUGCCUACUAUGUAAUGUAGUAAUAGUAGUAACUGACCAUAUGAUGAAUGCAUGCUAUGCAACAACUUGAGAUCAUGCAAAGUAUAUGCUUGCUCAAGUAACUCAUACCUGCUACGACGACGUCGACAACAGCAGGCACCGCAACUCGGGUCGCUUAUCCAUGGCCACUUGGCGCUCAUCGCGAACCCUCUAAUUGCAACGUCCUCAACGGCUGCUCUCCCGACCAUGCCGCAGGUGGCGCACCUGCAGGCUGUCCCAGGGAGGGAUAGGCCGUCAUUAGCGUCAAGGCCCGGCUAUCGCCUUUGCGGACACUUGUCCCGCACAUGGCCCGGCAGCCCACACCUGAAGCACUUGCCCUCACGCUGUUCACACUGCCGUGGCAAUGAGGGACCCCACAACUAACGCAUCUCACUGAGGACCGAAUGUGGUAAGUCCCUGGAGCUCGGGAUCGCGAGCGCGAACUUAUCGAAGUUUGUUGGGAACUUGACUAACAAUCAUGUCCACUUACUGGCUGUCCUUUCCCCUUUUUUCCUUGUAGUAUGCCUCGCGCUCCUCCCGCAGGGAUUCCUCACUUUGUUCUAUCCACAAGGCCCGAUCCCGGACGUCGGCGGAAGUCUGCAACUUAUGUGCAAGCACAAUCUUGCAAAGGUCUGGCCGAAGUCCACGCACAAGGCAGUCGACCAUGUCCUUGUCAUCCCGUGCUACGCUCGGGACGCAACGCACGACACGGGAGAAGUCCCGCUCGUAUCGCCUCAUGGUGCUGUUUACCUGCCACAGCAUCGGAAACCCUUCUGAAGCUUCCUCGCUUACCGUCAGGGAAGUGAACGGAGAAUGCCAAUUCCCGAACUUAUCCCAGACCAUAGGAGGGAUACCAGGCAAUCGAUUCCGUCGAAUGCCUUUCCACCACACCUUUGCCGACUGUUUACAAGCAGCGUACGGCUAGGUGUGCCCUUCCUCACUCUACAACGCAUAGAUCCCCAAAGGGAGUCUCGCUCUCGGUUCGUCACCAACAGCUUGUCGGCACCGACCAAUCACCAAUUUCCUUAGGUAGGCGACAUACCACCAUGACUUAUGCGUGCUGGGUGACUGCUCUGACCUGCGUCCUGGUCUCUGCGGUAACAUCACCAACAGCAGCAGGUUCCUCGACUUGAGCCGCGUAUCUAGGGCCGCUUGGCGCCUCCUGUGAAUCCUCCGGCUGCUCGACCACCCCCAGCCCUACAGACUGUGCCACAGGCUGCACAUCCACCAUAUGUCCCGAAGAGGUGAAUGUCGACGCUAUCAGCGGGAGUUGUCCAUCACCCAAGGGGCAAUCAUACUUCAUGUGGCCAGACUGCCCACAACGAAAACACCUUCCCUCUCGCAGUGCACACCGCCGCGCCUGGUGGGAUCCUCCACAAAUCACACACCCCGUAGAUACGGCGGUAGCAGACGGGACUCCACCAAACUGUCGCUGAAUCUCUGGGGCAUCUGGGGCAGAUGCAACUGACGGGGCAGGUGGCACUCCUUCCGCGCACUGACGGGCCAUAUGUCCCGCUCGACCACACUUGAAGCACCGCCCCGCCCGAUCCCUACAUUUCCCUGCGCGAUGUCCUCCACCGCAGAUCACGCACCGCAUAGGUCCUUGUCUAAUGGACCGCCGCUUUUGGUACUUCGGGGCCUUUUUGGAACUAGACUGUUCCCCCGAACCACCACGAGGCCGUUUCUUCACUCCACUCUUCUUGAACGCCUUGCGUUCCUGUCUCGCUUCCCCAGCUGCCGCAUCGAGUAUCAUAGGACCCGAAGCCGCAAGAGAGACACUAGCCGGCAGGGGAUGCGCCGCCGCCGGAGCUACCAAAAUGCUCACGCCCUCAGGCGCGUUGGGCGCGUGAGCCGAGGGCGCGGGCGGACCAUGGUCUUUAGUUGUCGUCACGGCCGCCGUCGCCACUUGUCGCUCCAAAAGCUCUUGGAGCCGCUCGAUCUGACUUCCUUGGCGUUGAAUCACGCCGAUAAGCGUAGUCAUCUGCGCUCGUAAUUCUCGCACUUCUUCAGAUCCAGACUGCUCGGGCACCUCGGGCGAUGGUGCCAGAGUGGGUCUAGUCACGGGGCGUCUCUUUGGCGCCAUAGCUCCUGAAACGCAACAAUUUGGUUAAUCACCUUAACCCGUUAAUCUCGUCGCAACUACUAGACAACGUGACUCGAAUCAGGCGAAAGUCAUACAAGGGUGCCUAUUCUCAUCACUAGGUUUCAUGUUGUCGCGCGCCAACAUGAACACACUUGGGUGAGAAUACACCACACCUUGAGUCUACCUCUAAUAUCCGUCUUAGAGGUUUACAAAACUUGACCCAAUCAAUUCAACUUCCGCCACAACGCAUAGGUUCACGUCACUCACGCACCUAUAACCUUAGGGUUCACCGUCCUAGGGUCUCCUAGGUCAGUCCUAGACUCUCUCUUUACUUGCUCUUACUUGCUCUGAUACCACUUUAUCUGUCACGCCCCGCGACCGCUACCAAUUUGGUUCGGCCCGGGCGCGUCGAACAGACGCCGGACGGACAGCACCUCCCCUGUCCGCCCAAGGCUAACCAACAAGAUUGUGUACAACAAGUUCCCAGGAAAAUAACUUGAAUACAUACACAAUCGAUAACUAACAACGAGAGCACAAUCAGUGCAAAACGACCAAGAGCAAGAUACAAGUAUAGAACAUACAAGUAAUGAUAAAGAGAGAGAGCAUCUAUCUAUUACAUUCAUUCAGCCUUUAUAAUACAAUUGGAUUAUACAUUGAACUUCCAAAACAUAAUAUAAAGCUUACAUCUUCCAAAAUAUAAACAUUAACUUACAUUUAUCUCAAAAUACCUCACAUCCUAUACAUCAUCUACUCUCAAAGCAUAAAAGGUGACUCUAAUGCAGAAAUAGGAAAGUAGACUAAUGCAACUAGGGCGCUAAGCCCUUACCGCGAUCCUCGCCGUGUGAACUCGCGCUCGGCCCUGUAGUAAAAUGGGGGUGAGAACUAACUUCCUUAGUUCCCAGUGGGUUCGGCCGCCGACUCCGCCGAUCUCCCCACUAGGUCCAAGUCGGGCACAAGUAGAUAAUCGAUAGAUAAAUAGAUAAGGAAAGCGGUAAUAACAAGAGUAAAGCUACUCUACUAUGCCCAAUCAUAAAUAUAUGAAUGCAUGCACAAUGAAAUAGGUAAGCAAGUAACUUGUUAUCAUGUCCAAAGGUGAAGCUAUUCACUCGUUCAUUAACCUCAUUUACUUGUUUAUUAAUCUCAUGGCUUACCCGAAGGCUCGCCUACAGCUCACUAGCCAUCUCGAAGGUAGGGAGAAUUAACUCACACUACGGACCCGAGACCGUCUGGCGGGGCCAUAUAGGCAAUCCCUGGCGUGACCAACAUCCGGAGCGCACUACUUGUGUGGGGCUUCCAUCACAAGAUUUAACAGACCGCGAGCAUGAUCCAAUCCUCUAAGCUCGAGGAUACCCUGUCCUCUAGUGUUACAAUCAUCAUAUAGUCCAUAGGUUUCAUAUACACUAUGACUCACAUAUGUCACUCGUUCUUUUGUUUACUAUCAACUAGAUGCCACUCGUUCUUUACAAGUUUCCAAUGCAAUAGCCAAUACAUUACUAAAUUCCCAUCCUCACUUAUCAUCUCAUUAUAGGGUUCCACAUCAUAUAUAUAAACCUCAAGCAUGCUAGAUAUAAGUACUAAGUCAAAUACAUCAUUCUACCAAAGGACAUGCAAGGAAUUGAACCAAACCAUCAUUUAUCACCCUAUAAUGCAAGAUGUCAAUAUGCAAUUUGAUCAAUAUAAACUUAGCGAUUGAUUCGGGAUGGACACCACCCACCUUUUAUAGCGUUCCGAUUGCUCGUCGUCACUCGCAAUCGGCCUCCUGCGGCGCACGCCGCACGGCUCGACCCAACUCAAGCGCGACUGCCAAAUGACCUCCUAUCCGCGAUCCGUCUGUUCUGGAGUUUAUUCCUCGACACCACGAUGCUACGAUUCCAUUUCCAUGAUUUUUGGAAGCUUUCGCCGCGAGCUGCGGCAAUCUGUACCUUAACGGCUUCGAUCCUCAAUAUCUCCGCGUACACUCGUCGGAUCGCCGAACCGAGCGCACCGUUGCGUUCGUAGACCUACCAAUUAGGUUUACAGAGGGUUAAAAGAGAUCAAACCCUCCUAUAAAUCAAAUCGCCAUUUUGGAGCCCUAGAUUUGUACUACGGCAAAAUCCACCAAAUUGAUCUCCCAUUCUUGCAACAAACGUCUAUUAAGCUUGCUAGAAUUCAUCUAAAUCCAAUUCUAGAGCAAAAGGGUCAAGCCCUAGAGAUCUACCAUUGAAGGGGUUAGCAAGCUUACCUCUUAAGCUAGCACAACGGAGAGGAGAAGAUGAGAAGAUGAAGCUCCACCUUGUUUGCUUCCUUCUUCACCAUCUUCUUCUUCUUCUUCCUCUUCUUCUUCUUCUCUUCUCCUCUUUCUUCUUCUCUUUCUUUUCUUUCUUCUUCACGUUAGAGAGGGAGAGAGAGAGGUGUUUUAAGUGAAGGAAAUGAGAGAAAGAGAGAAAGACCCUCUCUAUACACUCUCAUUAGUGCAAAAUUGCAUAAAAGCCCCUCAACAAAGCUUCCCUCGCAACAGCCCAAACUGGGCCAUUUUCGCGCUCGGGGACCGGUCCUUGCGGUGAGAGACCGGUCCCUGAGAGACCGGUCCUUGCGGUGAGAGACCGGUCCCCGAAGGUCCAGUACUCAGCCUCAAGGACUUAGCCAAAUUUCAGCCUUUUUCACCGUUUCUUCUCCGUUUUCGCCCGUUUUCGCUCGUUUGACCUCCGAUUCGUUUCAAAUCGAACCGAGACUCUUCAAACAUGUUUUCGAGCAUGUUUUCAUCAUCUUUUCAUCCACGCUAAUGCCGGAUUUAGCUCACGGCCCAACGUGGCCUUUCGGCUCCGUUUUCGCGCCUAUGCGCACCGAAAUGCCCGAUUGCUUCCGGACCUCACCGGGACCUCACCGAAAGCAUUCAAAUGGUCUUCCAACCAAAUGUACACCGUAACUUCAUGAUUUUAGAAGUCCGAUACCUUACACUUUGCACGCUUCUUCUCCUUAGAUGUAGACGAUGAAGAUUUAGACGAUGAAGCCUUGUCCGAUCUAUUCUUCUUUCGAAAAUUCCGACGAAACUUCUUCGUGAGAAGCGCCAAUUGUUGUUCAAAGUCCGCAAUAGAGAUCUCUCCGUCGGAAUCCGAGUCUCCGUCUUUCUCUUUCGUCGAUUUCAAUGCAACCCCUGUGCUUUUAGAGAAAGACUUGGAAGAAGAUUGAUUAGUAGGAAAGGUCAUUUCAUAAGUUUGUAAAGCACCUACUAAUUCCUCGACUUUCAUCUCGUCCGGAUGUUUGACCGUUUCGAUCGCGGCUACUUUAGCCCGAAAACGUUCCGGAAGAGUUCGAAGAAUCUUUCGCACAACUUUAGCAUCCGGGAUCUUCUCUCCCAAAUUAGCACAUGUAUUAAUAAUAUCUUGAAGCCUAAUGUAGUAAUCGGUAAAAGAUUCAUGCUCCUCCAUACGAAUAGAAUCAAAUUGACUAGUCAACAUUUGGAGCUUUUGAAUUUUUACUAAACUAGUACCUUCAUGUGUAAUUUGUAGAGUGUCCCAAAUUUCCUUGGCGGUCUCACACGCCGAAACGCGAGUAAACUCCGUUUGUGACAAUGCAUUAAAUAAAGCAUUUAUGCCCUUGCCGUUAAACGAAGAUGUCUCGUUUUCUUCCUUUGUCCACUUGUUCCGUGGUUUUGGCUUUUCAACAUUAUCGACCUUUUCUAUCGGAUGUUUCCACCCAAAUUCAAUAGAUUGCCAUACUCGCUCAUCAAUAGCAAUUAGAAAAGCUCUCAUGCGAACUUUCCAAUAGGCAUAAUUCGUGCCGUCGAAGAGCGGAGGUCGAUUAAUGUUACCAUCCUUCGGCCAUUAGAUAAUAAUUUAUCUAGAUCCCGCUCUGAUACCAAUUGAAUGUUUUGAGGAGCCCAAGGAUCUAUCUAGAUUGUAUCUAUCACCUAGAGGGGGGUGAAUAGGUGAACGGCCAAAAACCACAAAUCUCGAUGCAAUAAAAAUAAAUGCGGAAAAUAAAAAGCACACCGAGAUUUACGUGGGAAAACUCCAACUUGGAGAAAAACCCACGGGACCAAUACGCGAAAAAAUAAUUCACUAAGAGAAAAGAUUACAAGGUGAUUACCGACUCCACGGACUUAACCUCUCUUAACCUCCUAUGAAUCUUCGCGCUACCCUCCGGGUUGUCCACGCCCUCACGUCCGAAUCCACGAACGCCUCCACUUCGAAUCCACGAAGCUUCAAUCACGCCGAAUCCACGACGCCACUCGAAUCCACGAGCUCCACGAUCCGAAUCCACGAACCGCCGUCAAAUACGUCCGAAUCCACGACGCCACUAUGAAGAAUAUCAUGAAUAUGGUGAUCCUUCGCUUUGGAGUAUUGUAGAAAACCAGGGAAUAGAACUCCAAGCGAAGCGGAGAUCAAAUCGACAUAUUAAUAUCAAAUUUCAAUAUCUCGAUUUGAUCUAAAAGAGGCUUUUUGUAGAGAAUAGGUUUUUUAUGAAAUCCGACCCUCUAGGGUUUCUCAAAUAUGUAUUUUCGUGAUGCCUAAUCAAUUAGAGAACCCCUAUAGCUUAUUUAUAGACUUUAGAAUCAAAACAGAGUAAGACUAGAAAGUUUCUUUCCAAAAACAGCACCUUGUACCGGAACAAGGAAAGCUGUCCAGGGUACACCAUGACGGAAGAUUUUUCUGCGAAGCUCCUGUACCCUGGAUAGCUUCAGCUUGUUCCGGAACAGGGCUUGUACCGGUACAGCAUGAAGCUUGUACCGGAACAACCAUCAAACUUCCUGCGCAAACUAUGAUGGCUGUACCCUGGACAGAAAAGCCUUGUACCGGUACAGCAAUGCAAUUUUCGCUGAAAAUGCAUUGUUUUGGAUUUUACAAACUCUUAGAAACUUUCUAAUCAAUUACAACUUGAAAACAUGAUUCUAAGAUCUAUAAUUAAGUAUGAAUCACCAUAAACAAGAUUUAAAGCUUACCUAUGCAUCGUGAUUCAUGUUUUACGUGUUUUGCGUCCUUUCCGAUUCUUCGAAGUCUUGGAUUCUUCGAUCUUCAAUACUCCGCUCCGAACUUCUUCAAGACUCCGACUCGACCCACGAAACUUGCCAACAUAGGACUUAACAAUCGUGACCCCCGGUUCACUUCACACUUUUGGAAAAGCCUGCAAGAAGUCCUUGGCACGCGGCUCGAUUUUAGCAUCGUAUUUCAUCCUCAGACCGAUGGGCAAACGGAGAGAACAAUACAAACUCUAGAGGAUAUGUUGCGAGCGUGUGUCAUCGACUAUAAGGGAAGUUGGUGCGACCAUCUACCCAUGGCCGAGUUCGCCUACAACAACAGUUACCAUGCUAGUGUGGAGAUGGCACCGUUCGAGGCUCUCUAUGGGCGGACGUGUCGAUCUCCUAUACACUGGAGCAAUGUAGGCGAGUGUGCCGAGUUCGGCCCAGAUGUGUUGCGAGAAGCGGAGGAGAAAGUCCGCCUUGCUCGCAAGAGAUUGCUCACGGCGCAGUCCAGACAGCAAAGUUAUGCAGAUAGGCGCCGUCGAGAUAUAGAAUUCGCGGUGGGCGACCGCGUAUUCCUGAAGGUUUCACCCAUGCGGGGUGUGAAGCGGUUUGGAGUGCGGGGAAAGCUAAGUCCCCGAUAUAUUGGACCAUAUGAGAUAUUAGAAUGAGUCGGCACGGUGGCCUAUCGACUUGCUCUAUCGCCGAAGCUUGCGGACGUACAUAAUGUGUUCCAUGUCUCCAAUCUCCGCAAGUACAAUCUCGAUGCAAUAAAAAUAAAUGCGAAAAAUAAAAAGCACACCGAGAUUUACGUGGGAAAACUCCAACUUGGAGAAAAACCCACGGGACCAACACGCGAAAAAACAAUUCACUAAGAGAAAAGAUUACAAGGUGAUUACCGACUCCACGGACUUAACCUCUCUUAACCUCCUAUGAAUCUUCGCGCUACCCUCCGGGUUGUCCACGCCCUCACGUCCGAAUCCACGAACGCCUCCACUUCGAAUCCACGAAGCUUCAAUCACGCCGAAUCCACGACGCCACUCGAAUCCACGAGCCCACGAUCCGAAUCCACGAACCGCCGUCAAAUACGCCGAAUCCACGACGCCACCAUGAAGAAUAUCAUGAAUAUGGUGAUCCUUCGCUUUGGAGUAUCGUAGAAAACCAGGGAAUAGAACUCCAAGCGAAGCGGAGAUCAAAUCGACAUAUUAAUAUCAAAUUUCAAUAUCUCGAUUUGAUCUAAAAGAGGCUUUUUGUGGAAAAUAGGUUUAAGAUGAAAUCCGAGCCUCUAGGGUUUCUCAAAUAUGUAUUUUCGUGAUGCUUAAUAUGUUAGAGAACCCCUAUAGCUUAUUUAUAGACUUUAGAAUCAAUUGGAGUCGAAUUAGAAAGUUUCUUUCUAAAAUCAGCACCUUGUACCGGAACAAGGAAAGCUGUCCAGGGUACACCAUGACGGAAGAUUUUUCUGCGAAGCUCCUGUACCCUGGAUAGCUUCAGCUUGUUCCGGAAUAGGGCUUGUACCGGUACAGCAUGAAGCUUGUACCGGAACAACCAUCAAACUUCCUGCGCAAACUAUGAUGGCUGUACCCUGGACAGAAAAGCCUUGUACCGGUACAGCAAUGCAAUUUUCGCUGAAAAUGCAUUGUUUCGGGUUUUACAAACUCUUAGAAACUUUCUAAUCAAUUACAACUUGAAAAUAUGAUUCUAAGAUCUAUAAAUAAGUAUGAAUCACCAUAAACAAGAUUUAAAACUUACCUACGCAUCGUGAUUCAAGUUUUGCGUGUUUUGCGUCCUUUCCGAUUCUUCGAAGUCUUGGAUUCUUCGAUCUUCAAUACUCCGCUCCGAACUUCUUCAAGACUCCGACUCGACCCACGAAACUUGCCAACACAUAGGACCUAACAAUCUCCCCCUUUGGCAAUUUCGUGACAAAACACACACAAACUCACAAAUUACAAUUUAAAGAAAAAACGAAGUUCAAUGUCAUCACCAAAACAUCGAACCCCUCGCGUGUAAUCCAAAUACAAUUUGAAACUCAAAAUUACAUCAAAACUCCUAAAACAGACUCUAUGACUUAGACGCAACUAGGAGUCUUGAAGUCUUGAUUUCCUGCAAAACAAUUCAUUCAAAAAUGAUUAGCACUAAAUUCUUAUACCUUCUCCUCCUUUGUUUAUAUCUCCUCCUUUGUUUUUAUCUCCUCCUUUGUUUUUGAGCUCAUCAUCCUCUGCUCUAGUUCAAUGCCUGUUUUAUCCACGCUCUCCCCCUUCAUCUAUGCUCUCCCCCUUUUUGUCAAAAAUUGCCAAAAGAAAGCAAAUAGAAAGAGAAAACAUACUAGAAAAAUAUAAGCGUAAUCAAGUCAUAGUUACAGGCCUAAAAGAAAAAACAAGCAGAACUGAAACUAAAACAUCAUCCUAAAAUGCAAAUGCAGUGAAAAAGCUCUCUAAGCUCGACGAACGAUCUCAGAUUUCAAAAAAAUUGCUUUAAAAAUCCAUCAAAUUAAAUUAAUUUUAAAUAAAUUAAGGCUUUUACUCCAAGAAUCAUUAUAAUGAUAAUAAGAUAUUAUAAAAUUUCAAAAUACAUCAAAACAUCAAAAUUUUAUUAUCAAAAAUAAUUUAAUGAUUCAAAACCAUCAAGAUGUAAGUUGAUGAAAAAUGAUUUUUAGAAAUUCAACAAAAAUUGACACCAAUUUGUCAUAACACGUUCAAAAUAGAGAUUUAACUAAUAUGAUACCGGGGGUGGCUCUUUGAGCAUCUUUUUCUCUUACCACCUUAUAACUCCGAAAAUUCUAAAAUAUUCAAUUUUUCCAACCUUUUUCGGUUACCCAAUUUAAUCGUCAUGUGGUAGCUUCACACACUUGCCGGACGACCGGGGUGGUAGCUCUUUCCUACAUGUGGUGGUAGUUUUCACACUCCUUUUAGGAUGUAACUUUUUCCACAUCUUUUACAUAUAGGAGUUUCUUUUUCUCCUCUUUUUUUAUUUUUAAACAAUUUCAAACUCCCCCUAAAUUAGACAAUCUCACAGUUGAAAAUAAUUUUGACGAAUUUUAGUCAAUUAGAGAAUAUCCAUUCAUCAUAUCCAACACUCACAACCAAGAUGAAUUAAUCACCACAAAAUCAAAUUUGAUUUCAAAAUUUUGAUGAAUUUAUGCAAUAAGAAAUCAUAUAAUAAAUUAUCGUCAAAAUAAUAAAUAGUGGAGUAAAGACGAUAAUUAAUAUGAAUUUAACUUAAUAUGAAUGUGAAGAUAAAACCCGUUUAAACAAUCUUUAAAAACUUUCUCUCCAAAAAAAAUGAUUCUCAAUCAUCUCCUUUCUCAAAGAUUUUUAAAUAAACAGAAAUUCAAUGCACCAAAAAUCAUUCAAACAUGUAAUGCAAUGAAUAAAAUUAAACAACAAGCACCAAUCAAAGCAUUACACUAAAGAUAAAAAAAUGACUAAGACGAGGAGCAAGGAAAGAUAUCACCUUUACGGAUCCAAACUUGUCGGAUCGUUGGUUUUCUCGACUUGUCGACGUUAGGUGACGUUUGUUUAGACUUUUGAUCAACCGUUGGUGUUUUCUUCGGUUGAGGCUUGUGCACCUGUUUUGCAUGAACUUGGCGUUGUGCAUUAGAAGACCGGUUCGCUUGUGGCUUAGGUAAGAUCCGAUUCUUUUGAGGCACUUGACUUAAAUUAUUUUGCUUUUGAUUCCGUGGGAAAUGUCGAAUAGUAGAUGACGCCGAUGGAUGUUUUGAAUUUGCCGAUUGUGACUUGCCAUUUUUGUUUGGGCAAUUCCUUUUGAUGUGUCCUUCGAUGCCACAUCGAUGACACACUUUGCCUUUUGAAGUUGUUGAGACUUUAGAUGUCGCCGUUUGAUCCUUCUCAACAUAUGUCCGUUCAUAUCCAAGACCCAUUUUGCUCGUUUGACCCAAUCCAAGCAUUUUGUCCAACUUCUUUGAUCCCGAAGAAAAUUGUUGAAGAUCGGAUUGGAGUUGACGAACUUGAUCGGUCAAGACUUGAUUGGACUUGUGCGAUUCAUGAAAUUGAUGCUCCAAAAAUCCAAUCUUGUCGUUAGAAGAUUUGAUCAUUGAUUCCGCUUCAUCUAGCUUCUCUUGGAGGAUUGAAUUAUUUUUCAAAUUUGAUUCUCUUUCCUCCUCGAGAGCUUUAUUCAAAGUCUUCAUGUUGUUGUUUUCCUCCUCAAGUUCCAACAAACGACGUCUCAACUUCUUAUUGAGUUUAGCCAUCUUCUUUGAUUCAAUAAGAAGUUGAUUGUACGCUUCUGCUAUGUCGUCGUCGUUUGAUUCCUCUUCACUUUCGCCAUUGUUGCUCGAUGAAUCAUGUGAAGAAAGAGAAAUAUUGGAGUUAGUAGCAACAGAGGAUAAACACACAACAUUCGACGAAGGAGUAUUAGCAAAUAAGGCAAUUUGAUCAUUCUUUUCUUCGUCACUUGACGAUGAUUCACUUGAUGUUGAAUCAUCCCACGUCUUUGCUUGCAUAGCCUUUUGUCUAUACGUCUUCUUUGAAGGACAAUCCGUCGCAAUGUGGCCGUAGCCUUUGCACUUGAAGCAUUGGAUCUCGCCUUCAAAUACAUCCUUUUCCUUUGAAGACUUUGCACGAUUUUUAUCCUUAGACUUUGAAGACGAAGAUGAUUUAGACAAAGAUUGUCGCUUAGACGAUGAAGCCUUGUCCAAUCUAUUCUUGUUCCGAAAAUUUCGACGAAACUUCUUCGUAAGAAGCGCCAAUUGUUGUUCAAAGUCCGCAAUUGAUAGAUCAUCGUCGGAACUCGAGUCUUCGUCCUUCUCCUUUGUAGAUUUCAAUGCAACACCUGUGCUUUUAGAAGAAGACUUGGAAGAAGAUUGAUUAGUAGGAAAAGUCAUUUCAUACGUUUGUAAAGCUCCUACUAAUUCUUCUACUUUCAUCUUGUCCGGAUGCUUGACCGUUUCGAUCGUGGCGACCUUUGCCCGAAAGCGUUCCGGAAGAGUUCGAAGGAUUUUCCUAACAACCUUUGAAUCCGGGAUUUUCUCUCCCAAGUUAGCACAUGUGUUCACAACAUCUUGUAGACGUGUAUAGUACUCGGUAAAGGUCUCAUUUUCGUCCAUAGACAUUGAAUCAAACUUGCUAGUUAGCAUUUGCAAUUUUUGGACCUUUACUAAGCUUGUUCCUUCAUGCGUAACUUGUAGAGUAUCCCAAAUUUCUUUUGCCGUUUCGCAUGCCGAAACUCGAGUAAACUCUGUUUGUGAUAAAGCGUUGAAUAAAGCAUUAAUUCCUUUACCAUUAAACGAAGAUGACUCGUUUUCAUCUUUAGUCCACUUGUUUCGUGGUUUAGGGACGGUAGCACCAUCGACAACUUCAGUAGGAUGUUUCCAUCCGAAUUCAAUAGCUUUCCAUACCCGCUCAUCGAUUGCGAUUAGAAAAGCUCUCAUGCGAACUUUCCAAUAGGCAUAAUUCGUGCCGUCGAAGAGCGGAGGUCGAUUAAUGUUACCACCUUCGGCCAUUAGUUAACAAUUUAUCUAGAUCCUGCUCUGAUACCAAUUGAAAGUUUUGAGGAGCCCAAGAAUCUAUCUAGAUUGUAUCUAUCACCUAGAGGGGGGUGAAUAGGUGAAAGGCCAAAAAAUCACAAAUCUCGAUGCAAUAAAAAUAAAUGCGAAAAAUAAAAAGCACACCGAGAUUUACGUGGGAAAACUCCAACUUGGAGAAAAACCCACGCGACCAACACGCGAAAAAACAAUUCACUAAGAGAAAAGAUUACAAGGUGAUUACCGACUCCACGGACUCAACCUCUCUUAACCUCCUAUGAAUCUUCGCGCUACCCUCCGGGUUGUCCACGCCCUCACGUUCGAGUCCACGAACGCCUCCACUUCGAAUCCACAAAGCUUCAAUCACGCCGAAUCCACGACGCCACUCGAAUCCACGAGCCCACGAUCCGAAUUCACGAACCGCCGUCAAAUACGCCGAAUCCACGACGCCACCAUGAAGAAUAUCAUGAAUAUGGUGAUCCUUCGCUUUGGAGUAUUGUAGAAAACCAGGGAAUAGAACUCCAAGCAAAGCGGAGAUCAAAUCGACAUAUUAAUAUCAAAUUUCAAUAUCUCGAUUUGAUCUAAAAGAGGCUUUUUGUGGAAAAUAGGUUUAAGAUGAAAUCCGAGCCUCUAGGGUUUCUCAAAUAUGUAUUUUCGUGAUGCUUAAUAUGUUAGAGAACCCCUAUAGUUUAUUUAUAGACUUUAGAAUCAAUUGGAGUCGAAUUAGAAAGUUUCUUUCCAAAAUCAGCACCUUGUACCGGAACAAGGAAAGCUGUCCAGGUACACCAUGACGGAAGAUUUUUCUGCGAAGCUCCUGUACCUUGGAUAGCUUCAGCUUGUUCCGGAACAGGGCUUGUACCGGUACAGCAUGAAGCUUGUACCGGAACAACCAUCAAACUUCCUGCGCAAACUAUGAUGGCUGUACCCUGGACAGAAAAGCCUUGUACCGGUACAGCAAUGCAAUUUUCGCUGAAAAUGCAUUGUUUCGGAUUUUACAAACUCUUAGAAACUUUCUAAUCAAUUACAACUUGAAAAUAUGAUUCUAAGAUCUAUAAAUAAGUAUGAAUCACUAUAAACAAGAUUUAAAACUUACCUAUGCAUCGUGAUUCAAGUUUUGCGUGUUUUGCGUCCUUUCCGAUUCUUCGAAGUCUUGGAUUCUUCGAUUUUCAAUACUCCGCUCCGAACUUCUUCAAGACUCCGACUCGACCCACGAAACUUGCCAACACAUAGGACCUAACAGAGCACGCAAUGCUAUAUGAACCGCCGGAACUUCAAGAAGACUUGAGCUAUGAAGAGUUUCCGGUAGGGAUUAUCGCCCGAGAGGUGCGAAAGUUGAGGAAUCGAGAAAUCCCCUAUGUGAAGGUUAGGUGGAGCAAUCAUGAUGAUCGCGAAGCCACCUGGGAACUCGAGGAUCUGAUGAGAAAACACCAUCCUCAUCUAUUUGAGGAGUAAGGUACGGAUUUGAAUUAAAAAUAAAGAAUGGGUUCAUUUCGAGGACGAAACUCCUUUUAAGGAGGGGAGGAUGUAAGGAAGUGAAUUCUCGAAAUAUGAGGAUUGUACUUCAUCCAGGAUCGACUAAUUGUCGAAAGUAUACCCUUUGUGGGAGUUGAGAAUGUCCAAAGCACAAAAAGUGCCUUGGAGUUGAGUCCGCGAGAGCAAAUGAGGCAAACAGCAUCAUUGGGCUGAUGUUGCUCUGGGGGACCGGUCUCUGCAGGUGAGAGACCGGUUCCCCUGACUGGGCGUAGCGGGGUUGCGUGAUGCAACUGGUCCCUGGCAGGGAGGGACCGGUUCCCGAACGUGGACCCAGCGAGAGAUGCCAAAAAAUUGGCUAAGUCCUGAAGUGUCACGCCCCGCCCCGAGACCGCUACCGAUUUGGCACGGUUCGGGCGCGGCGGGCGGACAGCCGAACGGACAGCACCUCCCCUGUCCGCCCAAGGCUAAACAAUGAGAUCAUGUACAACAAGUCCCCAGGAAAUCAACUUGAAUACAUACAUGAUCAUGCAACAACAGCGAGAGCACAAACAGUGCUGAACAAUACAAGAGCAAGCGUCACAAGUAGAAGACAUACAAGUGAAACAAAAGAGAGAUACUUAACUAUUCUAUUACAACCAUUCAGCUCGAUACAUUUAAUUACAACUUGCAUUCUUUUCCAAACUAUGAAUAUAAGCUUACAUUCUUCAAAAGAUAAACAUUAGUUUACAUUUAUCUCAAAAUACCUCACAUCCUAUACAUCAUCUACUCUCAAUACAUGUAUAGGGUAACUCUAAUGCAACAUAGGAAAGUAAACUAUCAACUAGCACUAGGGCGCUAAGCCCAUAACGAGAUCCUCUGCCGAUCCGCUGUAAUAUACCAAAAAAAUUCGGAAAAUAAAUAUCGAACUUUAGUCAAAUUGACCAAAGUGCGAGGAUGGUACACUUCGGAAAGCCCGAAGGUGUUAAAAUGAUCGAAAGUGAGUUGUGGAAGGUUUUCGAGAGCUAAAGAAUCAAAUUCUGCAAAACUGCAGAUUUUCAGCUCUCGGGGACCGGUCCCUAGUGGGAGAGACCGGUCCCCGAAUGCGUAUGAAAUGAGACAGCCGAAAAUCGGCUAAGUCCUGUGAAAGUAGCUCUCGGGAACCGGUCCCUGCCUGAGAGACCGGUCCCCGAGAGACCGGUCCCACAGAGAGAGACCGGUUGCACUGCGCGCAGCAGCUCUGGCUGCGCUGGGACAACGUUCGGGAACCGGUCCCUAAAGGAGAGAUCGGUCUCUGCCUGCGCGAUCAGCCCAGUUCGGGCAGCGUAUUAAAGUGAAAGUUGAGGGGUUUAGCUGCAAUUUUGCAACCCAAUAGGCUAAGUAUGAGGGCAAAUGAGAUAUUUCUCUCAUUUCCUCACCCUCUCACACUCUCUUCUCUCCCUCUCUCUCUAGAAGACAAAGGAGAAGAAGAAGAAAGGAAGAAAAGAAGGAAAGGAAGGAGAAGAAAGUGAAGAAGAAGAUCAAAAAGCAAAAGUAGCUUCAUUACACUCUAAUUAGUCCAUUAGAACCAUUCUUAGGCUUUCCAAAACCCUAGUUUGGAUUUCACUAUGAGAGGUGGGUUGAAGCUCACCUUGAGCUCAACCAUGGUUUUGAUCUCUAAAGAAGCAAAAAGAAAGCUUCAAAUACUCUAAAAACUCCAUAAAAAUCAAUUCUAGGUUUACCCAAACCCUAGUUUGGGAGAAAUCAUGAAAAGGGGCGAAGAUUACCUCAAAGCUUGCCCUAACUUGCACUAGAGAGGAAGAAGAUGAAGCAACUUUUCUGAUACCAACUUAUCUGUCACGCCCCGGGACCGAUACCAAUUUGGCCCGACCCGAGCACGUCAAACAGACGCCGAACGGACAGAGUUUCCCCUAUCCGCCCAAGGCUCAUCACACGUACAUUUUCAUCGAAAGAGAAAAGCACUAGCGGAAACAUACACAAACGGCUCACACGAGGGUAAGCAAUAGCCAUUAGUGAAAGAAAAAGGAAAUUAAACAUUCAUAAGUAAUAUGAUUCAUUUUGGAUCAUAUACAUUGCAUCCAUCUCUUAAACUUAAAAUUCUUUACAUUUCAUUACAUAAUUUCAUCAUCUCUUUCUUACAUCACAUUUACCUCAAGAUAAGCUUUACAUUCUUUUCUUUACAUUGCUAAUCAUCAAAUACAAAAGAUGAUAAAAGGGUGUUUGCUAACAAAAUGUACCCAACUUUGGUGGCCUCUUACUAAGGCGCGAUACCUUUACCUCGGUCGCUCGCCGGCUCGCUCGGUCCCGGCUCUGUGGAAAUAGUGGGGUGAGAACUACAACAAAGUUCCCAGUGGGUUCGGCCUCAACAUCACCGACUUUCCCAACUAGGACUAACUCAGGCAUAGUAGAAAGAAUAAGCUGUAUAGUAACCAAUCUAUAACAUGAUGCUAAUAUGCCUGAACAAUAAGCAAGAAGUAUGCUCAACAUUAAAUAAAUGCAGAUUAUGCAAAUUCUUUCAUUCUUUGACUUUACUUUGUGCUUUGUUCUUUAUUCUUUGCUCUUUGUUCUUUGUUCUUUAAUCAUUAAGGCUAACCCGGGGGCUUCGCCACAUUAACUUGCUUCACAUUAAGUCCAUCAUCGCAGGAACUCACCCGCUAGGACCGUCCUUUCGGGUCUACUCCAACCCGGAUGCAUAACUCCGGAGCGCAUCGCCCGAGGGGGAGCGACCGCCCUCGAGCACGGAACUCAUAGCAAGCAUGAUCAUAUCCUUAACUCAAAGGAUCUAUAAGUUCAAUCUUGACUUUACACUAGCUCUAGUGUUCAUUAUAUCACUUUAUGUUGCAAACUCAUGCAAUCACAUUCUUUACAUUGUCCUUUACUUUUGCUAACUCUAGCAAUUAUAUUCUUUACAUUCUUUACUUUUGGCUACCUCUAGCAUUUCACGUUCUUUACUUCCCACAUUGCGUUAACUUUAAGCAUUAUCAUUUUCAGCAUUCUUUACAUUACAUUGGUUCUUUACCUCACACUAUCUCUAGUGUCUCUUUACUUUACAUUUUCAAAUGCCACUCGAUCUAUGUCAUUGUGCCACUCUGUUCUUUUGCUCACUUUGGGUACUCACAUUUUCUCUCAUGCAUACAUCUAGGGUUUUGACAUUAUUAGGUUCUCAACCAUCUCAUUAUGCAAGUUGUGCUCACAAUCAUGCAAUCAUCACAUUUCAUCAUUACUUUACCCUAAAAUGCAUGCAACAAUAUAUAGAACAUAUGCUCAAAGAAUGACACAUUAGGCAUAGAGAGAAUUUCAAUGAGUUUGAAAAGCACCACCCACCUCGUAGGCUUCCAAAGGUGCUCCGAUGAUUUUCUUGGGAUUUUUAGACUCUUUGUUCUUUACCUGCGGCAUAACGAACCCUUAUUAGGCCAUUUUGCCCAUAACUUUUCGUCGGCUUUUCGUAAUGCUAUUCCGAGCGCACCAACGCGUCGGAAAUACCCCCAAUUAGGUUUCUAGAGGGUCAAUUGCACUUAGAAACCCUCAUGAGCAAAAGCCCCAAUUUGGGUGCCCUAGCUCCAAUGUACAUCAAAACCUAGGGUUUGAUCUCUAAGAGAAGCAAAAGUAGCUUCAUUAUACUCUAAAAAGUUCAUUAGAACCAUCUUUAGACAAAUCAAAACCCUACUUAGGGUUUCACCAUGAGAGGUGAUGAAGCUCACCUCAAGCUUCACCAUUUCUAUGGUCUUGAUCUCAAGAGAAGCAAAAGAAAAGCUUCAAAUACUCAAAUGGUUCCAUAAAACCCAUUUUAAGCUUAAUCCAAACCCUAGAUUAGGUUCUACCAUGAUUAGGGUUCAAAGCUUACCUUGUAAGCCCUUCUUUUCCAAGCUAGAGAUGAGGGAGAGGGAGUCUCUUCACUUCCUCUUCUUCUUCUCCUUUUUCUUCUCCUUCUUUUCCUUCCUUUCCUUGUUUUCUUCUUCUCCUUUGUCUUCUAGAGAGAGAGAGGGAGAGAAGAGAGUGUUUGGGAGGGUGAGAAUGAGAGGAAAAGCCCCUCAACCCACUAACAUAGCUCAAUGGGUUGCAAAAAUGCAAUAAAACCCCUCAACUUUCACUUUAAUACACUGCCCGAACUGGGCAGUUCGCGCAGCCGGGGACCGGUCUCUCCUUCAGGGACCGGUUCCCGAACGUUGUCCCAGCGCAGCCAGAGCUGCUGCGCGCAGUGCAACCGGUCUCUCUCUGUGGGACCGGUCUCUCGGGGACCGGUCUCUCGGACAGGGACCGGUUCCCGAGAGCUACUCUCUCAGGACUUAGCCGAUUUUUCGGCUGUCUCAUUUCAUACGUGUUCGGGGACCGGUCUCUCCCACAAGGGACCGGUCCCCGAGAGCUCAAAAACUGCAGUUUGCAGAAUUUGAUUCUUUAGCUCUCGAAAACCUCCCGUAACUCACUUUUAAUCACUUUAACACCUUCGGACUUUCCGAAGUGUACCAUCCUCGCACUUUGGUCAAUUUGACUAAAGUUCGAUAUUUAUUUUCCGAAUUUUCGGUAUAUUACAUUCUCCACCCCUUAAAAUAAUUUCGUCCGCGAAAUUACGCAUACCUUAACUCGUCGAUUCGAAUAGAUGCGGGUACUCUCGCCGCAUAGUUUCCUCGAGCUCCCAAGUGGCUUCUCGCACAUCAUGGUUGCUCCAUUGGACUUUCACAUAGGGAAUCUUGCGACUUCGCAACUUCUUCACUUCUCUAUCGAGGAUGCACACCGGGCACUCCUCGUAGGACAUAUCCUCACGUAGCUCCACGGGCUCAUACUCCAAUACAUGUGCCGCGUUGCGAAUAUACUUUCGGAGAUUCGACACAUGAAACACGUUGUGAACUCCCGCGAGUCUCGGUGGUAGUGCGAGCUUGUAUGCUACCGCACCCACACGCUCCAAUAUCUCAAACGGUCCGACAUAACGGGGACUUAGCUUCCCACGGACCCCGAAUCGUUUGACUCCUCGCAUCGGCGACACUCUCAAGAAUACACGGUCUCCAACCGCGAACUCUAAAUCCUUCCUUCGUUUGUCGGCAUAACUCUUUUGCCGAGAUUGCGCCAUCGCCAACCGUUGACGGGCAAGGCGGACUUUCUCUUCCGCCUCCCGCACCACAUCCGGGCCAAGAGCCGCUUUCUCGCCCACGUCGCUCCAAUGGAUAGGAGAACGACACUUACGUCCAUAUAGUGCCUCAAAAGGCGCCAUUGCUAUGCUCUCUUGGUAGCUAUUAUUGUAGGCGAACUCCGCCAUAGGCAAGAAAUCAUGCCAUCCUCCUUUGUAAUCUAGCACACACGCUCGAAGCAAAUCCUCAAGGAUUUGUAUUGUUCGCUCCGAUUGUCCAUCACUUUGGGGAUGAAACGCUGUACUGAAGUCGAGCCGUGUGCCUAGCGCGUCUUGCAAACUCUUCCAAAAAUGGGAUGUGAACCUGGGGUCGCGAUCCGACACGAUCGAUACUGGAACCCCAUGAAGUCUCACAACCUCGUCGAGAUAAACUUACGCUAGCUUGUCUCCCGACCACGUAGUAUGUAUCGGCAAGAAGUGUGCCGACUUUGUCAAUCGAUCCACUAUUACCCAUAUCGCAUCGUGUCCGCCUUGUGAUCGAGGCAAACCGGUAACAAAGUCCAUUGCUAUGUCUCCCCAUUUCCAAACGGGUACUGGUAGACUUUGUAGCUUUCCCGCCGGAAAUCGGCGCUCUGCUUUAACUUGCUGGCACGUUAAACAUUGCGCCACAAACUCCCCGAUAUCUCUUUUCAUACCCGGCCACCAAUAAUGCUCCUUCAAAUCCUUGUACAUUUUAGUGCCGCCAGGGUGUAUACUAUAGGGAGAUUGAUGCGCCUCUUGCAUGAUCGCCCUUCGCAACUCAUCAUUUUUAGGCACACACCAUCGAUUUCGAAAUCGAAGUGCGCUAUCAGCUCCAACGCCAAAAUCUUCGACUUUACCAUUCUCAACUUCACUCCGCACCUUUUGAAGAUAAGGAUCCGAAGCUUGGAGAUCCUUGAUUCUUUCCAAUAGGGUCGGUUGCACAACCAAUGCGGCAAGUGUAGCCGGCACUCCCGGCGCUACCACUUCCAACCCGAAUCGUUGCAUUUCCUUUCGUAGUAGCGGUUGAGGCGUAAUUGCCGUCGCUAAGUUCUCCGCCGAUUUUCUACUUAGAGCAUCGGCCACGACAUUGGCUUUUCCGGGGUGGUAUAAUAUGGUGACAUCAUAGUCCUUUAGCAACUCUAACCACCGCCGCUGUCGCAUGUUCAACUCUUUCUGGGUGAACAAGUACUUUAGGCUCUUGUGAUCGGUGUACACCUCACAAUGUUCACCAUACAAGUAAUGCCUCCAAAGCUUUAGCGCGAAGAUCACCGCGGCUAACUCGAGGUCGUGAAUCGGGUAGUUCUUCUCAUAACUCUUUAACUGGCGCGAUGCAUAAGCAAUGACCCGCCCGUUCUGCAUUAAUACACACCCGAGGCCAACAUAAGAGGCAUCACUAUACACUACAAAAGUCUCUCCCGGAGUCGGCAAGGCAAGCACCGGGGUCGACGUCAACCUGUUCUUUAACUCUUCGAAGCUCCGAUCGCAGUCGUCGCUCCAAACAUACUUUACUCCUUUAUGCGUGAGGCGCGUCAGUGGAGUGGUUAUCUUGGCGAACCCCUCCACGAACCGCCGAUAGUAGCCCGCCAGUCCAAGAAAACUGCGGACCUCCGCUACAUUCGUCGGGCGAGGCCAAUCCUUGAUUGCCUCCACUUUCUUCGGGUCUACCGAAACUCCGUCACCCGAUACCACAUGACCCAAGAAUGUGACCUCCUUUAGCCAAAAGUCACACUUCUUUAACUUUGCAUAGAGCUUCUCUUGUCUGAGUAUCUGCAACACCGCUCUCAGAUGCUCUUCGUGCUCCUCCUCACUUUUCGAAUAGACCAAUACGUCGUCUAUGAACACCACGACGCAUCGAUCCAACAACGGCCUAAAGACUCGAUUCAUCAAGUCCAUAAACGCUGCCGGGGCGUUAGUAAGCCCAAACGGCAUUACCGUGAACUCAUAAUGGCCAUACCGCGUACGGUACGCCGUUUUGUGCACAUCCUUUGGCCUGAUCUUUAAUUGAUGAUACCCCGACUGGAGAUCAACCUUCGAAUACACCUUGGACCCUUGCAACUGAUCGAAUAGAUCAUCAAUCCUCGGCAACGGGUACUUGUUCUUUAUCGUUACUUUGUUCAACUCGCGAUAAUCUACGCAGAGUCGAAGUGUGCCAUCCUUUUUCUUCACGAAUAGCACCGGAGCUCCCCAUGGUGACACACUCGGCCUCACGAAGCCUUUAUCGAGCAGGUCCUGUAGUUGGCCUUUUAGCUCCUUUAGUUCCACCGGUGCCAUUCUGUACGGAGCCUUCGAAACUGGUUCGCGCUAUCCCACAGUCUGCCAAUGUCGUCGGCCGCCCUACCACUUUAUCUGUCACGCCCCGCGACCGCUACCAAUUUGGUUCGGCCCGGCGCGUCGAACAGACGCCGGACGGACAGCACCUCCCCUGUCCGCCCAAGGCUAACGACAAGAUUGUGUACAACAAGUCCCCAGGAAAAUAACUUGAAUAUAUACACAAUCGAUAACUACAACGAGAGCACAAUCAGUGCAAAACAACCAAGAGCAAGAUACAAGUAUAGAACAUACAAGUAAUGAUAAAGAGAGAGCAUCUAUCUAUUACAUUCAUUCAGCCUUUAUAAUACAACUUGAUUAUACAUUGAACUUCCAAAACAUACUAUAAAGCUUACAUCUUCCAAAGAUAAACAUUAGUUUACAUUUAUCUCAAAAUACCUCACAUCCUAUACAUCAUCUACUCUCAAAGCAUAAAAGGUGACUCUAAUGCAGAAAUAGGAAAGUAGACUAAUGCAACUAGGGCGCUAAGCCCUUACCGCGAUCCUCGCCGUGUGAACUCGCGCUCGGCACUGUAGUAAAAUGGGGGUGAGAACUAACUUCCUUAGUUCCCAGUUGGGUUCGGCCGCCGACUACGCCGAUCUCCCCACUAGGUCCAAGUCGGGCACAAGUAGAUAAUCGAUAGAUAGAUAGAUAAGGAAAGCGGUAAAUGACAGAAGUAAAACUACUCUACUAUGCCCAAUCAUAAGUAUAUGAAUGCAUGUCCAAUGAAAUAGGUAAGCAACUAGCCUGUUAUCAUGUCCAAAGGUGAAGCUAGUCACUCGUUCAUUAACCUCAUUUACUUGUUCAUUAAUCUCAUGGCUUACCCGAAGGCUCGCCUACAGCUCACUAGCCAUCUCGACACGUAGGGAGAAUUAACUCACACUACGGACCCGAGACCGUCUGGCGGGGCCAUAUAGGCAAUCCCUGGCGUGACCAACAUCCGGAGCGCACUACUUGUGUGGGGAUUCCAUCACAAGAUUUAAACAGACCGUGAGCAUGAUCCAAUCCUCAUCUCGAGAAUACCCUAUCCUCUAGGGUUAUAAUCAUCAUAUAGUCCAUAGGUUUCAUAUACACUAUGACUCACAUAUGUCACUCGUUCUUUUGUUUACUAUCAACUAGAUGCCACUCGUUCUUUACAAGUUUCCAAUGCAAUAGUCAAUACAUUACUAAAUUCCCAUCCACACUUAUCAUCUCAUUAUAGGGUUCCACAUCACAUAUAUAAACCUCAAGCAUGCUAGAUAUAAGUACUAAGCCAAAUACAUUAUUCUACCAAAGAACAUGCAAGGUAUAGGACCAAACCAUCAUUUAUCACACCUAUAAUGCAAGAUGUCAAUAUGCAAUUUGAUCAAUAUAAACUUAGACAUAAAAGGGAGCCCGAUUGCUUCGGGAUGGACACCACCCACCUUUUAUAGCGUUCCGAUUGCUCGUCGUCACUCGCAAUCGGCCUCCUGCGGCGCACGCCGCACGGCUCGACCCAACUCACGCGCGACUGCCAAAUGACCUCCUAUCCGCGAUCCGUCUGUUCUGGAGUUUAUUCCCCGACACCACGAUGCUACGAUUCCAUUUCCAUGAUUUUUGGAAGCUUUCGCCGCGAGCUGUGGCAAUCUGUACCUUAACGGCUUCGAUCCUCAAUAUCUCCGCGUACACUCGUCGGAUCGCCGAACCGAGCGCACCGUUGCGUUCGUAGACCUACCAAUUAGGUUUACAGAGUGUUAAAAGAGAUCAAACCCUCCUGUAAAUCAAAUCGCCAUUUUGGAGCCCUAGAUUUGUACUACGGCAAAAUCCACCAAAUUGAUCUCCAAUUCAUGCAAUAAACAUCUAUUAAGCUUGCUAGGAUUCAUCUAAAUCCAAUUCUAGAGCAAAAGGCUCAAGCCCUAGAGAUCUACCAUUAAUUAAGCAUCAAGCUUACCUCUAGGUGUUAGCUCCAAGGUUGAGAGGAAGAAGAAGAUGAUGGUGGUGAUGAUGAUGCUUCUCUCCUUCUCCUCCCUUUUCUUCUUCUCCUUUUCCUUCUCCUCUUUCUUCUUCUUCUUCUUCACGUUAGAGAGGGAGAGAGGGAUGUUUUGAGGUGUUAGGGUUGAGAGAAUGGGAAGAGAGAGUGAAAACCCACUUCUAUAGCCUCUCAUUAGUGCAAAAUUGCAUAAAAACCCCUCAACAAAGCCUCUCUUGCAACAGCCCAAAAUGGGCAUUUUCGCGCUCGGGGACCGGUCCUUGCGGUGAGAGACCGGUCCCCGAGAGACCGGUCCUUGCGGUGAGAGACCGGUCCCCGAAGGUCCAGAACUCAGCCUCAAGGACUUAGCCAAAUUUCAACCUUUUUCACCAUUUCUUCUCCGUUUUCGCUCGUUUGACUUCCGAUUCGUCUCAAAUCGAACCGAGACUCUCCAAACAUGUUUCCAAACAUGUUUUAAUCAUCUUUCCAUCCUCGCUAAUGCCGGAUUUAGCUCACGGCCCAACAUAGCCUUUCGGCUCCGUUUUAACGCCUACGCGCACCGAAACGCCCGAAUGCUUCCGGGCCUCACCGAACUUCACCGGAACCUUUCAAAUGGUCUUCCAACCAAAUGUACACCGUAACUUCAUGAUUUUAGAAGUCCGAUACCUUACAUCCUCCCCUCCUUAAUAAGAGUUUCGUCCUCGAAACUAACUCUCCUCAAACCCAAAUCACACCCUAAUUCUCUUUAUUGAGUGACAAGGGGUACAGUGCACUUUUGCAUCUCGAAGUGGCCUUUCGCUCGUUGGAACUAUCCGAAGGCCCACUACUGAGGACGUGAGACUAAUUUCGCUCACAUUUGCUGUGUGUAAGUCCAAAAGUGCGUUGCGGGUCUCCGUCAUUCUUGGUGGUAGCGCAAGUCGAAACUCAUCGACUCUACGCGCUCCAACAUCAUUCUCUAAUUGGCCCACUAAGGCCAAACCACUUCCUUUGAGACCGGAACUACCCGCUAUCCUCAUGGUGUGGAGCUAUCAAGAACGCACCAAUAGUCAUAUGGUCCACCACCACGACAUAGCACACACGGGUAAGCCCUCUCGAAUCACCUGAGUGUCAACAAAGCGGCGCUCCGCCACUUUGGCUAUCCAAGUGUUCGUAUUUCUCAUUUACGACUUUUCAUCACUUUCACCAUCCCUCUAGGGGUCACACUCCAAUUCGAUCACCAAUAUCGCUUAGAAGCGAUAUCAUUGGUGCAUCGACCCACUGCGAGUGCUCCAAUCGCAUUUGGAUCUUUGCUCUAUUAAGAGAUGGCCUACUCCGGCGCAUCUCGAAUCUUAAUCCAUAAAAGAGCAUUAUCCUCAAGCUCUCCAACCCCUCCAACAUGACCCAGCUUGCCUGGGCAAAUUUCAUGCUCGGGGACCGGUCUCUCCCUGCCUGGGACCAGGUCCCAGAGGGACCUCCUCAAUCUCACGCGUUCAGGGAACCGGUCCCUCUGGCCUAGGGAUCCGGUUGCCUCGCGCUUGCCACAGCCCUCAGCCUCGGGGCAACCGGUCCCUCCCUCCUGGGACCGGUCCCCGAGAGCAAGCUCGCGUAGACAACGUUCGGGAACCGGUCCCUCCCGCCAGGGACCGGUCCCCGAGAGCAAGUUUGCCAAGUGCAAAUUCUUGCACUAUUUGCUCUCGCGGACUCCAUUGUAAUGCAGUUUUGGUGCAUUUGACUUCUUCGGCGUUCACGAAGCACCCUCACUCGACAAUUAGUCGAUUUUGAGUGAAGUCCAACUCUCGCAUUUUGAGAAUUUACCUCCCUUGCACCAACUCCUCCACGGAGUUAUUGGCUAAACCGAUUACGUCGGCUUUCGCGGGUGGACCAGCGGUCGCAACCACUACGUAGGCCUACCGCCUAAACCCGUCGCACUACGCAUAGCGUCUCUCGCUCGCAUCGUAGGCCCAAUCAUCAUCGGGCGAAAUUCUCAUUGGAGAAUUCGCACACACUCCAACUUAGGAGCAACCAAGACCCCCAAACCACGUCAAGUCUUCGGGUUGGGUCACAACCGCAUACUCAGUGCAUCAUCGAUUCCACGAUCCAACACGUGGCAUUCCACACUCCAAGGUCUAAGCUCGGACUACCGUCCUGACCAAAACUCUCCGCCCUACCUAUAGGUAUUGGGCCGCUGCGUCUCGCAGCUGACUGCGCCUGCCAAAUGGGCCAAGGCACAUUGGCAGACUGUGGGUUGUGUUGGGUGGCCAACGACAUGACGCUUGAGGCAAGGAUGAAUGUGCAUGUUGCUUUCGCCUAAUUAGGUAUGGUCAAGUAAUGUUGGUCAAGUGACUAAUGUGAGUUGCUUCUUUUCAGGAAGCAAUGCAACCUCGACGUCGAUCGCAGACGAGGUCGAUGCCGGAGGAAACGAAUGCGGUGCCCGAGCAAUCCGGAGCGAGUGGCGACGGAGAGCUUAGGGAACAAAUGGCCGCGCUUAUUGGCGUAGUGCGGCA
rnacentral:lncRNA from 1 species